UCCGUAGGUGAACCUGCGGAGGGAUCAUUACACAAUAACAAGGCGGGUUGGACACCCCCCGCUGGGCACUGCUUCACGGCGUGCGCGGCGGGGCCGGCCCYGCUUGAAUUAUUCACCCGUGUCUUUUGCGUACUUCUUGUUUCCUGGGUGGGCUCGCCCGCCCUCAGGACCAACCACAAACCUUUUGCAAUAGCAAUCAGCGUCAGUAACAACGUAAUUAAUUACAACUUUCAACAACGGAUCUCUUGGUUCUGGCAUCGAUGAAGAACGCAGCGAAAUGCGAUACGUAGUGUGAAUUGCAGAAUUCAGUGAAUCAUCGAAUCUUUGAACGCACAUUGCGCCCUUUGGUAUUCCAAAGGGCAUGCCUGUUCGAGCGUCAUUUGUACCCUCAAGCUUUGCUUGGUGUUGGGCGUCUUUUGUCUCCAGUUCGCUGGAGACUCGCCUUAAAGUCAUUGGCAGCCGGCCUACUGGUUUCGGAGCGCAGCACAAGUCGCGCUMUUSGCCAGCCAAGGUCAGCGUCCAGCAAGCCUUUUUUUCAACCUUUGACCUCGGAUCAGGUAGGGAUACCCGCUGAACUUAAGCAUAUCAAUAAGCGGAGGAA
rnacentral:rRNA from 1 species